rnacentral:rRNA from 1 species
AAUCAACGCUGGCGGCGUGCCUAACACAUGCAAGUCGAGCGGGAAAGGGGGCUUCGGGUCCCUGAGUAUAGCGGCGGACGGGUGAGUAACACGUGGGUAAUUUGCCCUUGGGUGUGGAAUAACGUCAGGGAAACUUGAGCUAAUACCGCAUGACAUCCCCUUCACACACGAGUUGGGGAUCAAAGCCGGGGACCCUUCGGGGCCUGGCGCCUGAGGAGAAGCCCGCGCCCGAUUAGCUAGUUGGNGAGGUAAUGGCUCACCAAGGCUUCGAUCGGUAGCCGGCCUGAGAGGGCGGACGGCCACACUGGGACUGAGACA